rnacentral:rRNA from 1 species
GAUGAACGCUGGCGGCGUGCCUAAUACAUGCAAGUCGAGCGAACGGACGAGACUCUUGCUUCUCUGAUGUUAGCGGCGGACGGGUGAGUAACACGUGGAUACCCUACCUAUAAGACUGGGAUAACUUCGGGAAACCUGAUCUAAUACCGGAUAAUAUUUUGAACCGCAUGGUUCAACAGUGAAAGACGUUCUUGCUGUCACUUAUAGAUGUAUCCUCGCUGCAUUAGCUAGUUGGUAAGGUAACGGCUUACCAAGGCAACGAUGCAUAGCCGACCUGAGAGGGUGAUCGGACACACUGGAACUGAGACACGGUCCAGACUCCUACGGGAGGCAGCAGUAGGGAAUCUUCCGCAAUGGGCGAAAGCCUGACGGAGCAACGCCGCGUGAGUGAUGAAGGUCUUCGGAUCGUAAAACUCUGUUAGUAGGGAAGAACAUAUGUGUAAGUAACUGUGCACAUCUUGACGGUACCUAAUCAGAAAGCCACGGCUAACUACGUG